CACACAUAUACACACAAAAAUGGGAAAGUGAGAAGAGUAGCCUGUUUUCUUGGCAGAAUUGGUUAAUGUUAGACCGGAGAUGACCUUAUUUGAGACGGCAUUCUUGAGAGAAAGGCUGCAUAACAAAAUUUGCACAGACACAAGUUCAAAGACUCAUUCCAACAAUACUUUUAAGUGAAUUAAAGUGGAAAACUGUGUUCAUGUAUAACCAGAUAAAAGCAGAUAAACUUAUCUGGUUACCAGAGCAAAACCAAAGCAAAAACAAAAGCCAAAGGAAAAAAAAAAAAAAAAGCUUAUAUUCAUGCCAAAAGCAGGCUUAACUGGCAUUUUUAUUUCAAAAUACAAAAAAUGCUCUUCAAAAAUUUCAUGCUAUAAUCUACAUAGGGUAUUCUAGAUAUAAACAGUCUCUUCAACACAUUCUCUUUUAAAACGUAAUUCUUAAAGACACUCUGCAUAGCAAAAGUUAGGAAAUCUUCGACAUGCAUUAAGAAAAAUAACCUGCAUCAAAAAAAAGAAAUAAAAAAAGAAUUAAUGCAGAUGAACAUGGCCACUUUCAAACUAGCAUUACAAUCAACUUUGAUUUUCAAUCAAGUGUUGAUCUGGAAAAGGGAGGAAGGGAAGCUGUGGGUGCCCCGUCCCUGGAGAUACCCAAGGCCAGGCUGGAGGGGGCUUUGGACAGCCUGGGCUGGUGGGAGGUGUCCCUGCCGAUGGUAGGGGGGUGGAAUGAUAGCCUGUAAGGUCCUUUCAACCUGAACCAGUCUAUGAUUCUAUUACAUUCAAAGGUUCUGUCUUGGCAAGACAGUCUGGUUCGUAGAAGGUUGCAGCAGUCUCAGUAUUUCACAUGAGACACCGUAUAGUUGCACAGGUAAGUUGCAUUUCAAAUCUUGAAGUUAACAAAAGAGAAAAAAGUAAGACUCACCAAAAGAUAAUGCAGGCUAGAACACAAUAUCCCUCUUUUUCUCAAAUUUAUCCCACAUACAAGCAGAAGCAAAGCCAAGAAUGUUUAGUAAUAGAAUUACUUCAGGAUCUAAGUGCUUUCCUCCAAGAAUCUAGUGAGUUGGCAUGUAAAUAAUCUCUAAUAUGGUUAAUUUAUUUUGUGCCAUUGACAUAUGCUUGACAUUUAAGGAUAACUACUUUUCUCACUAUACCACUAAAGGACAGUAGUUGCAUAUUAUCCAUUUUACAGAUAAAAAAAAUAGAUCUAGAAAUCAGUGUAUCCAGAGUCACACAAUAAAUCACCUUAAAAGCCUGGCCUGGCAUAUAACUUUUGCAGCUUCACUGGAAAUUGGAAAAUACAAACUUUCACCUCCCCAGACAAGUUUAGAAACCUAACAUUGGAAGGGAUGGCUUGAUUCAGAGACUCCAGCCCUCUACCGCUGCGGGCAGGCAUGUCAAAUAAACCUCCCAUAAACUAACCACACCUGCAAGAGCAUAUUAGGAUUUAUAAGUGCAGAAAAUCUACCGGCCAUAUGGAUAUGGGUUUUGGCAGUUUACAUCUUCUUUGUUUGUUUUGUUUUUUGUUUGUUUGUAAUACAGCUUAAAACAUGGAAUUCCUUCCACCAUCGUUAAUAUUUGAGUGCAUGAAAGCAGCACCUGGAGAUGCCAGUCAGGAUGGGGGACUGCACAAACAUUUAGGAAGAGCAAGUCCUGAGCACCAGCCUAUGUCCCUGAUUCUGCAAGGCAUUGUCCCUCGGCAGGUGCUGCUGCUGGUGCAAAUCCAGGGGCUUUAAUGGAGCUUUUUGCCUGUCAAGGCCUUAAGACUUCUGCAAGACCCAUGCAAGACUGAGCCUUAAGCAAAUGAAGUAAAAAACAAAAACAAAAACAACAAUAAACAAAACAAAACAAAAACCAAAACCCUAAUAUCCUGUAUUUUUACAAGUUGAAGAAAUGGUUUAAAUGAGCACCUUUGCCAGACAUGUCUUUGUGACUCUCACAUACGUGAUCUCAGAUAAAAGUUCUUGCUCUUGUGUUAUGAGAAGCAAUUUCAAUAUCCGCUUUGUCACCAAGCAAGAGAUCCAAAUCGGGCACUGACUGGAAAAUGCUAGUUUUAUUUCUUGUACCUUAAACCCACUGUUUGGAAAAUGUACCACUUGGAACCAUAAAGGAAUUUCUGUUCUGAGGCAGCUUGCUCUGUCCAUCCAUCCCCAAGCACUGCUCCCCGGGGCUCGGUGUGACCUGUGCCUUCCCGGGGAGCUGCAGCUCCAUGGACAGGAGGCUCCGUGUUUGCCCUGAUUGAGCACACACAGGAUCAAACUGCCAGGAAGCGAGGGCAGCAUCUUAAAAUAAUACUGGAGAACCAAGCCAAGGCCUCUCUGCACUCUUGCUAGGAAAUGUUUAGAUCCAAUGAGCUGCUACAGACAUGCUCCUUCACUUCCGGUCUUUUCCAUAGUUUAAUCAGAUCUCUCAAUUGGGUAAUUUCUUUCUUCACACAGGAGCAUUUUCAGGAGCAGACGGGGUGCCUCCAGCUCUGUGAGGCGGGCUUGGGUGCCCACCUACUGCAGGCCGAGGGUGGAGCAGGCAGGAGCUCACCAGAGCACAAGGCAGCUGCGGCCUGCGCUGUGGGAAGCUGGCGAUCCCGCUGUUGUGCCACCAUCCCCGGUUGCCUUGUUAGCCCGAGUGCUGCCUCGUUAGCCCCAAGAACUGCCCCUGCUCACGAGGCAGGAGGAGCUCGCCCACAGCUCGACGUGCUGCGCUGUACAGACCUUCUCCUGGGCACAUGCCUUCGGCAUCCUGCUGCAAAUUUUGGCCCGCUUGAGGAACGAGCCAUGUUAGAAAGAUAAUCCAAACCACAGCUGCAUCCCAGAGCAAACAGAGAACCCUGCUCCAAACCGUACAUGAGAAAACAUGGGAAAAAUAGGCACUCAUAAAAUACUCAAGAAUGACCAGACUGACCCAAAGAAAGCACAUGGACCCAAACAGAAUGGCCUAAGGACCUGAUCAAAUUGCCGUCACCUUACCAAAGGUCCACCUCCCUUCAGAUAGGCCAUUGACCCUUCGUUCACGAGCAUGAACAAAACCUGUUUUCACAGCUACCAUGUGAAUUCCUUUUAGUGCUUUCUGGAUUAAGGUCCUAGUGAAAACACACUGGGAGUUUCAAAGCUGGUAAACAAGUAGUGAGAGAAAAAUAGGAAACAAUACUCAUCCCAGACAAAACGUUUUACAGAUGAUCCAUUGAGAGCUUCCCAAAAUACCACCACAAAAUGCUUCAGUUAUGGCUUCGCCACAGGCAUAUCAUUUCAUCUUCCUCUUAGUACUAUUUACAAAAAAUUCCAGAGCUACUGGAACAAAAGUAGACUGUGGGCAUGCAAAUAAAAUCAGAUAAACACAGUCCAGUCAUUACAGAUUCUACCUGUGCCACCAAGUUUUUUACUUUAACCUCGACUUCUUGCAGAACCUUACCCACAAUAUGGGGCAAGACAAAUGUAGUUCAGAAACUCAUCUAAUGAUUUCUGGUUAUGACUAAAGGAUUAGGAAAAUUUUUUCAAAUACCAAAACUGUUUUGCCUAAAAGUCUACAACAAAUGUUGUGCCCUAAUGUGAGCAUUGGGUGGAGGUACUGGGAAACAAUCAUUUGCUUACAAGUUUAGUAAAGAAUUGGGGAGAGCACCUGGAGAAGACCUCACCUGCCCCCAUGCUGUGGCUAUUCCUGAAGGGUUUCCACCAUCUGCAUGUGCCUUCAUCACACCCUCUAGUUGAACAUUUUGUUGGCUGUGCUGAUUGGAAUUGUUUAAUGGUGCUAUAUACAAUGGGAUGACCAUGUACGUACAAACUUUCUUCACAUACAACAAUGCUAAUCUCGUGGUACGAGCCACAUGGGAAAUAACUUGCUGAAAAUAUAUUUCACUAGAAAAACACUUUUCCCCAGCUUUUUGCAUACCUUAACAUGUGGGGUCAUUGUUUCUUCAUAUGAGAAACAAUUUUUCUUUUUACUUCAGAUGUGGAGCUACAAACCAAAACUGUUGUUAAAAUACAGUCCCAGUGAGAAGCACAAUGUAUUUUAAUUUGCAUAAAUGAAAUGUAAAACCACACACCAUUUCUUUCACCAUUACCUCUGCAUCCAGGGUUGCCCAUGAUGAAUAACUUUACUAUAUAUUAGAAGAGAAGAAAAUCUGUUUCAGGCUUAUGCUUUGUUAAGGCCAAUUUAAGCACUGAAAAUAGGACAGAUAUUGGAUAGAAGUGUUUCCCAGAGCUCUGGGAAAUGCUGUUUCAACAGUGCUAACCACAGAGGAAUAAAGAGACCCAGGGCUCUGGGCUCUGUUUGAUAGAUAAACCGUGCGUAAGGAGAGCAAUUUGUGGUGCACAGCCUUAGAAACACACAGCUGAAGAGCAGGGCACCGGGACCUGAGCCACACAGAAAGGAAGGCCCCAGAUACAAUACCGCAGACCUUGUUCCCUAAAGCUGACAUUGUGAAAUGCUGCCCAGAUCUUUCUGGAUCUUGCACAGAUCCAUCGUUUCCUCUUCAAACUCUGGUCUUGUAAACAGCCCAAGCAAUGUAUUUUUUUUUCUCAGGUGUUUACACCCAGAUUCUCGAAUGGGAGCAGGUUUUCUUACAGUUGGAUAUGGCUGGAAAAAAGGAAUGAUGUGGCAAACAGCUGGAAUGGAUGGAAGAGGUAGAUGUGAAAGGAGGAAGAGCGAACUGGGAUCACAACCUACUGGUUGCUGUCUUAGAGAGCAGCAUAUUUCAUAAAAAGCAAUUCUUACAAAGUUACUUAAAUGCUCCAUAUUAUUUUGGGACUUACUCAUCCUUAUAGCAUUACAGGUAUCACAAUUCAAACUGUUUUAUUGAUUAUAUGUAUAUUAGGGGUUUUUACAAUAGCAGGAAUGCCUUUGCUUGCUUAAAUUUGUCCACAAACUCCCCCAGCAUACUGUAAACUACUUUUAUGUUUGAUAAAAGCACAGCAUUGUCACAACCAAGUCAGCUUGCAGCAAACAAACCAGGAUAAAGGCACGUUAAAGAUAAAUUAGUUUGCACUGGGAGCAGAAGAGUUAAUCUUAAAAGAAAACAAGACAUGCACAUCAUCUUACUUCUUUGGCUUGGACGCACCUUAUCUCGGCCAGUUCUUUUGCCCUGAAACCACAGGUGAGACGUUAUCUAUUCAGCCCAAAAGCACUUCUUUAGGGAGUUUUAUAGAAAGUUACAGUGUGUUACAUUGGAGAGUCUCUUGGGAUUCGGUACAUGUUUUCUGGGUAAGACAGCUCAGGUUUUGUAGUAAAAAAUGCUCUUUGUAAAGAAAUUCUUAUGUGUAAAAAUUGUUUUUUAAUUUAUACGUAUAGCUGUUCUCCAAAACCUACUGAGAAGCGUGAAGCACAGAAGUGGUUUAGGGGGUAGUAAUCCAUCACAGCGCUCAGCUUUCAGUUGCACUAUGUUCUCAUCGAGCCUUUUCAAUGCUGGCUUCCAAAACUGCCAAAUCUUGCUGCCAGCCCCCGCCGCCCUCCCUGCGCAGCUGCAGAAGGGCAAGGCCGCAUCGUUCCCCAUGACAACAUGUUCCGGCCGCCACAAGGCCCUGCAGCACGCAGGGCACCGAGGAUGUAUUUCAUGGUUGUCACGGCAACUCGCUCUGAGCAAGUUCCCGGAUGCCCAGUGGGGAGAUCUACUGGUAGUGGGUUUUCAAGAGGAGAAAGUGGAUGAGCAAAAUGCUGUACGAGGAAAAUAAGGAUACGACAAAUAGUGCUACUGGAGAGCAAAGCCCUGGCAGUUCGGGUUCACGCAGCCACCUGGGACUGGUGCGAGUUGCCUUGGAAACCUCAGCCCGAACAAUUACGGAGCAGCCACAAUUAUUCUGAAUAUGCCUGUUGAGAAUCCAGUUUCAUUUUGAGAUGGCCACCAAUAAUGCCAUUCCAGGGAGAAAACUCACAAGCGAAGGUUAAAACCAAAUGAAAAACAGUGACAGAUUUUAUCCUGCCUCCACUUCCUACAGGAGUGUAUUUUUAUCUCGAAAUAUUAAUGAUGAUGUAUCAUCUGUAAAUCACUGAAGACAGAUUUGAUCAUACUGCUGAGUGAACACAUAGUUGAUUCAUAACUUUUAGAGAUAGGUGAGAUCCAGAAAUAUGUAGAUUUAAUAAAACUGGAUGUAUAGAAAAUAGUGCACCUAUGCAGAGCAUACCUCAACUUCCAUAUACUGCACAACCUCAUCUAGGAAUACAUAGACAGUAUAUAAAAAGAAAAUCCUCAUAGCAGUAACUAAAAAUACUUAGUGAGGUCACUGCAUGACUCCAUUAACGAAACCCUCGUCGUCCUCACCUCCUCCUUCCCAAACUUGGCCCAUUUGCUGGGCAGAAUCCCAAACUACUGGGCACAGGUUGGGUGCUCGUUUUUCAGCUGCUUUAGAUCUGGCAGAAUGGGUCACACACAGACUUUUUCUAAUAACAAAAUACAUUUUACUGUUCAAAUUACAAAUGCACGUGAAUAGAACGUUUUGAUUUUUUUUUUUUUGAUUUUUUUUGGAGUAUUAUUAUCAAUCCUGCAUAGCUGUUUUAUGGUAGACUUGCAUUGAUAAAUGACUUCUGUGUCAGGAGGUCCGGUAAGUAAAGCAGCAUACCGGUGAGAUUUGGGUGACUUCAAUAAGAAGUCUGGGUUGUUAAAAUGGAGCCAGAAGGCUGUGAUAGGAUAGUGUAAACAGCUGAAAUCAAUCUGAGCCUAAGGCCACAUCUUAACGAUCUUUGUGGAACUAAAAACACGGACAGACAUUAAAAAAAUUGUCAUUGAUUUAAAUGGGAUGUAGCUCCUAAGGGCUCGUGGAGCUUCUACUAAGCAUAUUGCUAAAACUCAGUCUUAAGGGCAAAGUCAGUUUUAAGAUUGUUUUAAGACUUAAAAUAAUAAUAAUAAUUUUGAAAAGAACCUGAAAAUAUUUUAUCUUCCUUAACAUAAGCUAAUGAAAUUCUCAUCCUGAAGUUUCUCUAUUCUUGUUCUUCUUUAUUUCUUAGGUUCGUUAGCACUCUUUAUUCUGAAGACUACCAUUAUUCAUUUUAAAUAUUUUGUAUUAUUAAUCCAAUACUACUGUAGAAAGAGUUGUAAUUUUGUUCUCAAAAUUAAACGAAUGUUGCUUGGCUAUCAAUCACACUGUCACACACUGAAAAGCAGAACCAAGAACCACAAACUGAGAGUUGGAUUAGCAAGCACUCUGAAAUUACUCUUUUCUAUAAACUGAUAAACAUGAAGAUAGCACAGUAUGACCUCUCUUGGUCUAUCCAUAUUUUUAACCUUCCUGCCAACACUCCCACCUGGUAACAUGGCCGUCAAGAGACUUCCUGUAAGGGUUCAAAGCUGAUUUCAGAACAGUGGAAAUAUUUAUUUAGAAGAUGCUGUUGACUCACAAAUAACACUUCUUAGUGCUCUCUACUUGUUCCUUAGCAUAGGGUACCUAAAAUAAAAUGACUUUGUAAGCCAAGAUCUAAAUGAUAAGAAACAUAAUGCAAAAGAUGAUCAGAGCCAGCACUACUUAUGUACCGUAUCAGAAUAGCUAAUAAGUUAAAUACCACCAUUCAGACAUCUGUGCUGUUACUUUUUAUAUGUCAUGACAGUAAUUUCCCCUUGAAACCAACUAAGAACAUUACUUAGAAGGUGCUGCUUUCCUCUGUUCCUUCUCACAAAGGUAGACUUCAAGCGGUUGAACCAAAAUUCUUUUACUGUGUAAUACUUUGUUAUACUAGCCUUGGUCCAGUUAUAAUCACACAUUUUGUCUGGCUACAAAUAUUCACAUAUAGCAGCACUAGGUUUCAUAACGUUUGUUAUGCAAAUCAGUACCAAUAUCGCAGAGACACUGUUUUCACUGAAAACCUAUUCCCUUUCCCUGAGCAGUUUGGACCACUAAAAUGGUGUCAACCUUGCUACCUUCAGAACAGGGAGAGCCUUGAGUGCACAGUGUGGAAGCUGAACUAACUAGACUUUGAGACAGACUAAUUAUUUCUGAGACAGAGCUGACCCUAUGUGAAGCUGCAGUUUCUCAGACCCAGUCCAGGAGCUUUACACAAUGCAGCCUCCCAGGAUUUCUACACCACUUAAUCGCAGGACAUAGAUAAACCUUGACUAUUCGUUCUGCAUUUACAGUAGGCUCUA